UACAGACGAAGUUAUAGCGGAGGCGAUGGCAAUAGUUAUCAACAGCCAGUCAGUUACAGAUGCAUUUCGACAGAGACGUUGUUAUCCCCACGCUUUUUGAAAAAAAGGUGGGGAUAUUGUGGUUAUCUCCGCCGUCCGUCCGUCCGUCCGUCUGUCCGUCCGUCCGUCCUGGCCACUAUCUCCUCCUACACUAAAAGCACUAGAACCUUGAAACUUACACACAUGGUAGCUAUGAGCAUAUGUGCGACCCUGCACUAUUUGGAAUUUUGAUCUGACCCCUGGGUCAAAAGUUAUAGCGGUUGGGGUGGGGCCGCGUCAGAAAUUAUCACUCAUUUUUUUAGGUUAUUUUACAUUUACUUCUUUAUUUCUACACCGAUUCACUUCAAAUUGAUACUGGACCUCUCUUAUGACAAUACGGUCAAUCUCAACCAUGCAUGGCCCCAUUCCCAACCCUGGGGCGCCCCGCCCACAUAGGCCACACCCACCAAAAAUUUCCAUUUACUAUAAUUUUUUCAUUUCUACACGGAUUCACUUCAAAUUGAUACUGAACUUUUGUUAUGACAUUAGGGUCAAUCUCAACUAUGCAUGGCCCCAAUCCCAACCCUGGGGCGCCCGCCCACAUAGGCCACACCCACCAAAAAAUUCCAUUUACUUUAACUUUUUUAUUUCUACACGGAUUCACUUCAAAUUGAUACUGAACUUCCCUUAUGACAUUAGGGUCAAUCUCAACUAUGCAUGGCCCCAUUACCAACCCUGGGGCGCCCCGCCCACAUAGACCACACCCACCCAAAAUUGCCUUUUACUAUAAUUUCUUCAUUUCUACACCGAUUCACUUCAAAUUGAUACUGAACCUCUCUUAUGACAAUACGGUCAAUCUCAACUAUGCAUGGCCCCAUUACCAACCCUGGGGCCCCGCCCACAUAGACCACACCCGCCCAAAAUUGCCUUUUACUAUAAUUUCUUCAUUUCUACACCGAUUCACUUCAAAUUGAUACUGAACUUCUCUUAUGACAAUACGGUCAAUCUCAACUAUGCAUGGCACAAUUGCCAACCCUGGGGCGCCCUGCCCACAUAUGUCACACCCACCCAAAAUUGCCUUUUACUAUAACUUCUUCAUUUCUACACCAAUUCACUUCUAAUUGAUGAUGAACUUCUCUUAUGACAAUACGGUCAAUCUCAGCUAUGCAUGGCCCCAUUACCAACCCUGGGGCACACCUAGGUCAAACAUUCGGCGUGGGGAUACGCGUCGGCCUCUGCCGCGCCAUUUCUAGUUAUCUAUGUCUCUGAUUGCGAACACAGAAUUAAACAACAUUGGUCAUAAUCUUACAUACAAGAGAUCGGCAGAGCAGGAAGAAGCCAUGUUGAUGCCCUGGCCAUUCUCUUCUUUAACAAAUCAGUCAUUGCAUCUGCACAUAUGACCAGAGAAAUGAAGGACUAUUGUGGAAACUCAACUAUCUGCCGAAGAACUUUAGUUAACCAGUAUUGUGGUUUUGAAACUAAGGAAGUCUAACAGUUUUCAAUUUGUUGUGAUUUGUGUAAUAAUGAACUGGGGAUAGAAUAUGAUUUUAGUAAACUGUCACCUAACUAAAAGCAUACAUAUGUUUAUUACAAGAUUCCUUGAUUAAUUGAAUUUUCACAUCUUUUUAGGAAAGUCUAUCCUCGAAUGUUUUAAAUAUCUGAAAUAUAUUUGAUUGGAUUGAUUUAUUUAUCAUUUAUGUUUGAUGAAAAUGUAUAUUCUAUGUUGAAUUAAUGCAUAUGUUAGUGUGAGUGUAUGUUUGUGUGUUUCUGAGGAUAGUGCGUAUGGGUGAAAAUGUGUGAGAAUGGUACGGGAGUUGCGUGAUUUAUGUUUAUAAAUUAACAUUUGUUUGUAACGAUAUACCAUGUAGUAUAGUGACCUAAUAAAGUUCUUUUCUGUUCUGUU